rnacentral:rRNA from 1 species
UACGAAGGGGGCUAGCGUUGCUCGGAAUCACUGGGCGUAAAGCGCACGUAGGCGGAUCUUUAAGUCAGGGGUGAAAUCCCGAGGCUCAACCUCGGAACUGCCUUUGAUACUGGGGAUCUCGAGUCCGGGAGAGGUGAGUGGAACUGCGAGUGUAGAGGUGAAAUUCGUAGAUAUUCGCAAGAACACCAGUGGCGAAGGCGGCUCACUGGCCCGGUACUGGACGCUGG